rnacentral:lncRNA from 1 species
CAGGGCUGUCCCACGUCUCCUGUGGGGCCUUGUCUCCUCCAGGAAGCCCUCCCUGGACCCCCAGACCAGGUUAAGUCCCUGCAUGGCUUUGCCAAGCGGUGCCAUGUCUGCACCCGGGAUCUGAACCAGCGAACCCUGGGCCGCUGAAGCAGAACAUGAGAACUUAACCACUGUGCCACCGGGCCGGCCCCCCAUGUCUACCUUAAAACCUGUGCUGUGGGACCGUCUCCUGCCCUCCUCUCCAUCCCUUGGAUUCCAUUUGUGGCUCAAAGUUGACUUGAAUCCUGGUGGAGUUGCAAAGACUCACAUCCUCCUCGUACACCUG